GUGAGUCAGGAAAGCCCCCUGAGAGAAGUCCAGAGGGUUGGGGAAGGCCUGAGUGUGAUCUGUGUUGUUUCUGCCUCUGCUGCCACAGGUUAGCCCAGGAGCGGCCGGGACACAGGAAGCUCAGGCGCAGAGGCGGAGGAGCAAGCUGGCACCGACAAGACAAGGGAAGGUCUUCCCCCAGAGGCACAUUCCUAUCCGUCUUUCUGCUGCACACCUGGACCAGGCUUGCAGGCUGCCAGACUCAUUCAACCUCCAGAGAGAAGAGCCAAGCCUAUGGGAAGUGGGGAGGGACUGCCUGAGGCUGCAGCUGGUGGGCCUCCUGCAUGUACUAGCAUCUGCAUUCCUCCCUCAGGGCAUGGUCUCAUCUCUGCAUCAGGAAUUUACCAGGAGAUGGAAAAGAAAAGAAAAAGCGCU
rnacentral:lncRNA from 1 species